GGCACCUGCUGCUCCGUCAUGAUUCAGCCGCUUUCCGUGCCGCGCUAACACCACAGGAUGCUGCUGCCCCUGCCGCCGCCGCCGGUCCUGCUUCUGCUUCUGCUGCUCCCGCAUGACGCUUGUUUCCUCCAUCUGAGCAGACACCGGCUUCAGAGGCUGGAGGUGGGAACCAUGCCUUUCAGUUUGGGCUACUGGUUUACUUAAUAAGCC